rnacentral:lncRNA from 1 species
UCCAACCUAGACUCUGAAAAACACAAAAAAGGACGUAUGAAGACCGAUUGUUUCCUGGUAGCAGUGCCACUUUCAGGAUACUAGAGGUUGGUUGUGGAGUUGGAAAUAGUGUGUUUCCAAUUUUGAACACUUCGCAGAGCUUUCCAGAGUCCUUUCUGUAUUGUUGUGAUUUUGCUUCUGGAGCUGUGGAGCUUGUAAAGUCACACUCGUUCUACAGAGCAGCCCAGUGUUUUGCCUUUGUUCAUGAUGUAUGUGAUGAUGGCUUACCUUACCCUUUUCCAGAUGGGAUCCUGGAUGUCAUUCUCCUUGUCUUUGUGCUCUCUUCUAUUCAUCCUAACAGGAUGCAAGGUGUUGUAAACCUACUGUCCAAGUUACUGAAACCUGGGGGAAUGCUGUUAUUUUGAGACUAUGGAAGAUAUAAGAGUCAGCUUCGUUUUAAAAAGGGACAUUGUUUAUCUGAAAAUUUUUAUGUUCGAGGAGAUGGUACCAGAGCAUAUUUCUUUACAAAAGGGGAAGUCCACAGUAUGUUCUGCAAAGCCAGUUUAGAUGAAAAGCAAAAUCCGGUUGAUUGCCACUUACGAGUUAAUAGGAAAAAACAAGUAAAAAUGCAC